GUGCUCACUUUGUUAGCACAUAGACUAAAAUUGGAAUGAUACAGAGAAUAUUAGCAUGGCCCCUGUUGAAGGAUGACACGCAAUGACAUGAAAUUCCCUGGAAACAC